rnacentral:rRNA from 1 species
GACGAACGCUGGCUGCGGGCUUAACACAUGCAAGUCGAACGGAAACGCCCUGCUUUUUUGCUUUGCUCGGCUUGCGAACGCGUACGUAACAGUAACGUAUCUUGCCCUUGACUUUGGCAUAACUUCAGGAAACUGAGGCUAAUACCAAAUACUAAUGCCUUCUUCAUGGUGGAUGUUAGGAAGUUUCGGCGGUUGAGGAUGCACUUGCGGCUUAUCAGCUUGUUAGUGUGGUAGUGGCUUACCAGGGCUUUGACGGGUAGCGGGCCUGAGAGGGUGACCGGCCACAUUGCGACUGACCUACGGGCCAGAGUACUACGGGAGGUAGCAGUGGGGAAUAUUGCCCGAUCGGCGGAAGCAUGAUGCAGCAAGGCGGCGUGAGGGAUGAUGACCUUCGGGUUUUAAACCGCUUUCGCAUGUGACGGAGCGUGAGUGCAGGUAAUGGGUAAAGAAGCACCGGCUAACUCCGUG